CAACAAGAGUGAACUGCUUCUCAAAUACAACCCUGUUCACAAGAAGGUUCCGGUGUUUGUUCACAAUGAGAAGCCCAUAGCAGAGUCUCUUGUGAUUGUUGAAUACAUUGAUGAGACAUGGAAGAACAACCCCAUCUUGCCUUCUGAUCCUUACCAAAGAGCCUUGGCUCGUUUCUGGUCCAAAUUCAUUGAUGACAAGGUGUAUAACUCUUCUUUUCUUUGUUUGUGCUAAUUUAUCACUAAAACAUCAUCUUUCAUGACAUCUAAAUAUGAGAUGUUGUUAUAUGUUAGAGAACUCAAUAGUUAACUGCCAAUUAUCAUGAAUUUCUUUAAUAUUUUUCAUUCACUAUUAAUUGUAUACCAAUUUUGUCUAAAAUUAUAUUAAUGAUUCAUUUAACAACUACCUCCAUUUAUUUUUGGGACGUUUAUUUCAUGCAAUUUUUUUUUCAUUUCUGAGAAUAUCAUUCAUGACUAUUUUUUAAAAAUAUGUUUGAUCACGUUUUUAAUAUUUCUAAAAAUAACUUUAAAAUUCAAAAUAAUUUAAAUAAAAAUAGAUAAAAAAAAGAAUUGAAUGGUAUUUUAGGAAAUAAACGUGUGGAAAACUAUGAUAAAAAAAUGGAAGUUAUUAUAUUUCCUAGAAUCAACAAUAGGUGUGAAUAAUUUUUUAAAAUUUAUAACAAACGUCAGUAUGUAAUAUUUUCAUGCUAAUUCGUGAAACAAACGCACUUUAUGAAUACUAAUAAAUAAUGUGAUUUGUGAAAUUAGAUUGGGGGUGCUGUAUGGAAAUCUGUUUUCACGGUUGAUGAGAAAGAGCGUGAGAAGAAUGUUGAAGAAUCGUUGGAGGCUCUGCAGUUUCUUGAGAGUGAGAUCAAGGGCAAGAAGUUCUUUGGAGGAGAGGAGUUUGGGAUGGUAGAUAUUGCUGCUAUCUUCAUAGCAUUUUGGGUCCCUAUGGUUCAAGAAAUUGCAGGGUUGGAGUUAUUCACAAGUGAGAAAUUUCCUAAGCUCUACAAUUGGAGCCAAGAGUUCAUGAGCCACCCUGUUGUGAAAGAAGUUCUUCCUCCUAGAGACCCACUUUUUGCCUUCUUCAAAGCCCGCUACGAAAGCCUGCUCGCUGAUUCAAAAUAGAUUUAUUUAAGGAUACUUGUGUGAACAACUUGUCUCUCGUUGAGUUAUUGAUGUUUGAAUUUCAUGUCAAUUUGAUACUAUAUGUAAUGUAACUUAGGAUCUUAUUCCCAUUUUGGCCAUUUCAUUUAAUAAAGAAAUUCUUUAUAUAUAUAUAUAUAUAUAUAUAUAUAUAUAUAUAUCUAUAUAUAUCUGUGUAUCUGNNNNNNNNNNNNNNNNNNNNNNNNNNNNNNNNNNNNNNNNNNNNNNNNNNNNNNNNNNNNNNNNNNNNNNNNNNNNNNNNNNNNNNNNNNNNNNNNNNNNAUAUAUAUAUAUAUAUAUAUAUAUAUAUAUAUAUAUAUAUAUAUAUAUAUAUAUAUAUAUAUAUAUAUAUAUAUAUAUUUAUUUAUUGUAGUGAGAAGCUUUGUCUUUCGGUGGAUGCUACAUGGAUCACACCUUUAUAGGUAGUUUGGGGUGCAUCAUCUUUAUCCACCAUUAGAUUAAUUUAUACCUUAAAAUCACACCUUACGCUAAUCACACUAGAUUAUAUCUCCCCAUCAUCUUUCUUAUACCUUUACCCUCCAGCAACUCUUCUUCUGACUACCAUUCUCCGUCGUUAAAGACGAUUUUCGAUGGUUACAUUUCAUUUUUUUCCUCACAACCUCCACACCUUUCCUCCCUCUCUCCACUUCAGAUUAACAAGCGACAUAAAAAAUGGUGAAUUUUGAUGAUAACAAAAAUAUGUUUGAAGUCAUAACCAAUAAUGGUUUAUUCUUUGAUCAUGUGGCAUGUGGUUUGAAAAGAAACCCUAAUCAAAAUAGAGAUCGCUACAUGUGCAUGAAACAACAAAUAAUAGACAAAUUUACCAAAAUUUAGUGGAAUGCAUGUUGGGUUUUUUGGGCUCUCUUCCUAUGUGAAGUAAAGGCCCAAAUGAGAAGACUCAUUUUGUCUUAUUUAAGUGGAGAUGGGUCAGAUUAGAAAGAGACACACAGAGAGAGACUCAUCUGAGAGGAAAAAAUAAUUACAAAUCAUUGAGAGAAAAAGAAGGAGAAGGAAAAUCAGUGAUUUUCACAUACCCACUAAAGAGCAUUCUUCAUAUUGCAACAAUGAAUUCGUUCACCAUUGGAUCGGGCUGAUAUUUGAACAACAAGUUCUACGCAUGUGAUACUUCAAAUUUUCCGGUUGGAUCGGGAGAAAGAUAUCUUUAGAGAGAGAUAAGUGUUUUGCAUUAUCUACUUUAUAUUUUGGGGUUUUAUCUUCUUGUCUCUAUUGUACCAAUUAAGGGUUUGUUUUGAUUUGACUGUUUGUAGCACGUUUUAGUGCACUUGUUGGAGGUUCUCUUGUAUAUUCAUUGAUUAUAGUGAAAUUAUUUCUUUGGUCUGGACGACCUGUGAUUUUUACCCUUGUAUUGAGGGGUUUUCCACGUUAAACAAAUUGUCUAUGUUUUUUUCUUAAUUUCUAUUUUGUGCUUUAUAUUUCAUUGGUACUCCUCACAGAUUCUUGCAAGUUUGGAGGAAUUUAUUUCCGUUGCUUAUUACUCUAUUAUAGAGUUUGUUAUUAUGUUUGCUUAAUUUCCCCCAUCAGAUUUCGAUAAAAUUAUUAGAUUUUUUUUCAAUAUAGAACACUCAUCUCGAUAAAAUGGCUUGAAUCCUAUUUACUUACGACAAGAAAUUGAAAAACGGGUUAAUUUAACCCUCCCUUUUGUACAAUGUGUAAUCGAUGACCUAUGUAUAAAUGAAUAAGAAUUCUUUGGAUUUGAAGAAAAAAAACAACUUUGCUGACAUAUAUUUGUUUGGUCAGAAAAGUCCUCCGAAUAUUCUGGUCUUAUAUUGGUAAUUGUUUUCAAUAUUUUAAAAAUAAAAAAUAAAAAUAGCGAAGAGAGGAUAGGCUCAUUACAUCAGAGCUUUUGGUUAAGGGGCUGUUUUUUCUACUUGCUUGAACAAUGGAGGCACAUAUGAAGGGUGAUAGAGACAAGAGCAAAAGCAAGUUCAGGUCUCGGUAAUAGAAUGCUGAGUGUCAUUAUUGUCACAUAACAGAGCAUAUCCAGAGGAAUUGUUUUCUAUGGAAGAAGGAGAAUAAAGAGAAGAAGGGUAAGCAAAUAGAGAAGGAUCAUGAUGAUGAUUGUGUGACUACUACUACCAGUGAUGAUCUUGUUAUUCUCCAUGACCCUGAUUCGCUUAAUCUUGUAUUUGAUGAAAGCAUGUGGAUAAUUGAUAGUGGUGCUACACUGCAUGUUACAACCAGGAAGGAGUUCUUCACAUCUUACACUCCAGGUGAUUUUAGAAUUUUGAAGAUGGGUAAUGAUGGCAUGUCCAAGGUGAUUGGUGUUGCUGAUGUUUGUUUGCAAACCAACAUGGGAAUGCAAUUGCUACUUAGAGGAGUGAAACAUGCUCUAAAUGUUCACUUUAAUUUGAUCUUUGUGUAGGUACUUGAUGAUGUUCUGGGAAGUGGAAACUCACCAAGGGUAACUUGGUUGUGGCCAAGGGGGAGAAAAUUUCAAAGUUGUAUUGGACAAAAGCUUUGGUUGCUAGAGACAGUGUGAAUGCUAUGGAUAUAAAGGCAUCUUUGAGGCACCGAAGGCUUAGUCAUAUCAGUGAGAAGAGAUUGAAUUGUUUAGCCAAGAAGGAUAUGCUUCAGGGAUUGAAGAAUGCAAAUUUGGAGAAAUGUUCUCAUUGCAUGGUUGGUAAGCAAACCAGAGUAUCCUUUAAGAAGCAUCCUCCCUCUAGAAAAUCUGAGUUUUUUGAAUUGGUGCAUUAUUCAGAUGUUUCUGACCCUUUGAAGGUGAAAUCCUUUAGUGGUGCACCUUAUUUAGUUACCUUCAUUGGUAACUGUUCCAAGAAACUUUGGGUCUAUGUUUUGAAGACAAAAGACCAAGUUCUUGAGAAGUUCAAGGAGUUUCAUGUCUUAGUUGAGAGGAAGUUAAGUAAGAAUCUGAAACGCAUUUAUACUGACAAUGGUGGUGAGUAUUGUGGACCAUUUGAUGUCUACUACAAGCAGCAUGGUAUUGCUCAUGAGAAAACUCCUCCUAAAACUCCUCAACUGAAUGGUUUGGCGGAGAGGAUGAACAAGACAUUGAUCGAGGGAGUGAGAUGUAUGCUCUUCAAAGCAAAGUUACCCAAGCACUUCUAGGGUGAGGCACUGUACACGGCGGUGCAUGUUAUCAAUCUUAGUCCUGUUGUUGUUUUGAAUAGUGAGGUGCUGAGCAAAAUUUGGUUUGGCAAGAAUGUGAAGUAUGAUCAUUUAAGAGUUUUUGGCUGCAAGGCUUUUGUGCAUGUUCCAAAGGAUGAAAGAUCGAAGUUGGAUGUAAAGUCAAGGCAGUGUAUCUUCAUUAGUUAUGGUUAGAAUGAAUUUGGUUACGAGUUUUAUGAUCCUUUUGAGAACAAGCUUUUUAGAAGUCGUGAUGUGAAAUUCAUGGAAGACCAAACCAUUGAAGACAUUGAUAAGGUGGAGAAGUUUACACCCAAGGAAGACAACGGUGUGGCUGAUUUUCAACCAGUUCAACCGUCUAUUCAGAAUCUGAAUACUGAUGUUCAGAAUGAUGUUGGUGUCCAACAACUUAGAGAUGAAGUAGAUGUUCCUACUGAUGAUGAUGAUGAGGAACAUGACAUGUCACAAGAUGAAAAUCUUGGUGAUGCUAUCGAACCACCUCAAGUUCAACUCAGGAGGUCCAACAGGGAGAGGCAACCUUCUAAGAGGUAUUCUCCUAAUGAGUAUGUGAUCCUAACAGAUGAUGGAGAACUUGAGUGCUUUAGAGAGGCUAUGGAAAGUGAAGAAAAGAGAAAGUGGUUGGAUGCAAUGAAGGAUGAGAUGAAAUCCAUACAUGAUAAUCACAUUUUUUAUUUAGUGAAGUUACCUAAGGGUAAAAGGGCCUUGGAUAACAGGUGGAUCUAUAGGGUAAAGCAUGAGAGUAACUCUACAUCUCCAAGGUACAAAGCCAGAUUAAUGGUGAAGGUCUAUAGUCAAAGAAAGGGUGUUGAAUUUAAUGAGAUUUUUUCUCCCGUAGUGAAAAUGUCAUCCAUUAGAACCGUAUUAAGUUUGGCGUCUACUCUUGAUUUGGAGGUAGAACAAAUGGAUGUAAAAACUGUUUUCCUUCAUGGUGAUUUGGAGGAAGAGAACUACAUGAAGCAACCUGUAUGUUUUCAUGUUGAAGGGAAAGAAGACUAUGUGUGUAGGCUGAGAAAGAGCCUAUAUGGUUUGAAGCUGGCUCCGAGGCAGUGGUACAAGAAGUUUGAGUUUGUUAUUUGUGAGUAAGGCUACAGGAAUACAACUUCUGACCAUUGUGUCUUUGUUAGAAAGUUUUCUGAUGAUGACUUCAUUAUCCUGUUAGUGUAUGUUGAUGACAUGCUUAUUGUUGGGAAAAAUGUUUCCAGGAUUGGCAGGUUGAAGAAGCAAUUGGGUGAGUCAUUUGCCAUGAAAGACAUAGGAGCUGCUAAAUAGAUUCUUAGUAUAAGAAUCAUGUGUGACAGAAAAGAGAAGAAGUUGUGGCCGUCACAAGAACACUACAUCAAAAGAGUGUUGUAGAGAUUCCAGAUGGAAAAGGAUAAGGCGGUGAGCACUCCUGUUGCUACUCAUUUUAAGCUGAGUUCUAAACAGAGUCCAUCAAAUGAAGUUGAGAAAUUAGAUAUGCAACAGGUUCCUUAUACAUCUGUGGUGGGAAGUUUGAUGUAUGCAAUGAUAUGCACAAGACCAGAUAUAACACAUGUUGUUGGUACAAUUAGUAGAUUUUUGUCAAACCCAGGUAGAGAGCAUUGGAAUGCUGAGAAAUGGAUUUUGAGGUAUCUUCAUGGUGUUGUUGAUAUGAGGCUUUGUUUUGGUGGUGAUAAGCCUACUUUGGUGGGAUACUCAGACUCAGAUAUGGUUGGAGACAUUGAUUCCAGGAGGUUCACUUCGGGCUAUUUGAUUAAAUUUGCAGGGGGAGCUAUUACUUGGCACUCCAAGCUAUAGAAAUGUGUAGCUUUGUCUACUACAGAGGCAGAAUUCAUUGUCAUUACCAAAGCAUGCAAGGAGUUGCUAUGGGUGAAGAAAUUCUUGCAGGAGCUUGGUUUUGUUCAGGAUAAAUAUCUACUAUUUGUGGAUAGUCAGAGUGUUAUUCAUCUUGGUAAGAACUCAACCUUUCAUUCAAGGUCUAAGCAUAUUGAUGUGAGGUAUCAUUGGAUACGAGAUACUUUGGAUGCUAAGCUAUUGGAGUUGGCCAAAAUCCAUAUUGAUGAUAAUGGUGCUGAUAUGAUGACUAAGGCAUUACUAAGAGGGAAGUUUGAAGUUUGUUGUGAGAUCGCCGGUUUGGCGGUCACCUCCCCAUAGUUGUAAGGGAGAGAUUUGUUGGGUUUUUUGGGCUACCUUCUUAUGUGGAGUAAAAACCCAAAUGAAAAGAUCCAUUUUGUCUCACUUAUUUAAGUGGAGAGAGGUCAGAUUAGAAAGAAACACACACAGAGAGAUAUAGUGAGAGAGACUCAUUUGAGAAGGGAAAAGAGUUACAAAUCAUUGAGAGAGAAAGAAUGAGAGGGAAAAUUAUUGUAAUUUUUGCAUACCCACUAGAGAGCGUUUUUUAGAUUGCAACUGCGAAUUCGUUCACCGUUGGACCCAGUUGAUUUUUGGAAAACAAGUUCUACACGCGUGAUUCUGCAAAUUGUUUGGUUGGAUCGGAAAAAAGAUAUCUUUAGAGAGAGAUAAGUGUUUCGCAUUAUCUACUCUAUAUUUUGGAGUUUUAUCUUUUUGUCUCUGUUGUAUCAAUUGGAGGGUUUAAUUUGAUUUGACUGUUCGUAGCAUGUUUUAAUGCACUUGUUGGAGGUUCUCUUGUAUAUUCAUUGAUUAUAGUAAAGUUAUUUCUUUGAUCUAGAUGACCCGUAAUUUUUAUUCUUACAUUGAGAAGUUUUUCACGCUAAACAAAUUAUGUCUCUGUUUUUUUUCCUUAAUUUCUAUCUUACGCUCUAUAUUUCAUUGGUGUUCCUUAUAGAUUUUUACAAAUUUUGAGAAAUUUAUUUUGACUGCUUAUUACUUAUUAUGUUUGUCUAUUUUCUCCCAUCAAUGUCAUUUAACUUUUGAAUAAUCGGGGAGUCCAAAUUUUUAAUUGUAAUUAAAAGACUAAUUAAGUCAUUAUAGUUUAUUGAGAUAAAAAGGAGUCAUUUUUUUUAUGAUGUGACUCCCGACAUAGCGUUUUAGCUCCUCAUUUCCGACAAACAACAAGUUGAGAUUGUUGACAACUGAAAAAUUUUCAAAAACUCCACGAAAUUGAAGUCAGGAUUCACUAACCAACCAAGCUACAACAUAAUAAAUCAAUUCAAUCUGAAACGAAGAGUAUUAGUAAGUAAUAUCACGUUCUCUGAUACAUUUUAAGACGAGGAAGGUUUCUUCAAUAUUUUUGAAAUCCUCCUUGAAUUUACUAAUUGCGGAACAUAUUCAAUUAGAAAAAUAUUUAUUAGUAAAAUCAUUAAUAUCAUUGAUUGUUUUUUAAAAUUCCUUUAUUGCAUGUUAUUAUAAUUUAUAGAAUAAAUUAUAACACUCCUUAUUCCUUAAGCCUUUAUGAAAUUACAGUUAACUUUCCAUUUUUUUUACACUAAUUCCUUUUUAAGUUUAAAAAUGUUAUAUUAAUACUUUCUUAUAUGUUUAAAAAUAUUAUACUAUGUUAACAUUCCUUUAAGUUUCAAAAUAUUACACUAAUUUUUUUUUAAAAUACUUAAAAUGUUAUACUAACAUUCCUUUAAAUCUUACGGUAACAUUCACUAGAAACAAGGAUGGUCAAAGAUUCAAAGUAAUGAAUUUUUUUUAAAAAAACAGAAAAUAUUUAUAUAAUUACACAAAAUCUUAAAAAAUGUUGUUAUUAUUUACUCUAAUUUAUAAUUUGAAUUUAGGAUCGAGUAUAUUUAAGGAAAUUUCUCUACACGGUUUACGCAAUCUCUUACAUCAUUUAUUUUUCCACAUUUGUUUACUCUGAGGAAUCUUCUUGAUAGGGGAAAGUUUUUUCAUAUUUUUUCUAGAUCCUUCUCAUGUGCAAUGUCUCCGCAUUCAUACGCAGCAAUCAAAAUGGAAUUAAUACACGGUAGCACUUUCCCAUUUUUUUGUUAUCGUCCCCACUAUUGACUAUACCCAUGAUAUGUAUAUAGGUAUAUCUUUUCUAAUUGAUUACGUAUCUGCUGAAUACUAGCUAGUCCUGAUUCCUAGCUCUAUAAAAGGAGAAUACCAUAGGAAUUCAUCACAGACAAACAAACAAUUUACCAGCUAUACUUGUUCCUUUUGAAGGUUAGAAGUGCUACAAUACAAACAAUGGCAGCUACUCAGGAAGAUGUGAAGCUUUUGGGUAUUGUGGGAAGCCCAUUUGUGUGCAGGGUCCAGAUUGCCCUUAAGUUGAAGGGAGUUGAAUACAAAUUUUUGGAAGAAAAUUUGGGCAACAAGAGUGAUUUGCUUCUCAAAUACAACCCUGUUCACAAGAAGGUUCCAGUGUUUGUUCACAAUGAGCAGCCCAUAGCAGAGUCUCUUGUGAUUGUUGAAUACAUUGAUGAGACAUGGAAGAACAACCCCAUCUUACCUUCUGAUCCUUACCAAAGAGCCUUGGCUCGUUUCUGGUCCAAAUUCAUUGAUGAUAAGGUAACUCAACAUUUCAAAAAUCUUCUUAGUUUUCAUGAUUUGUGCUGAUUUGUCAGCAAAACAUCACGAUGAAAUCUAUAUAUGUGAAAUCUUUCUGGUGUGGAAUAUAUAUGUGAAAUCUUUGAAUAUGUUAGAGAACUCAAAAGUCAACAGCCAACCAUGAUUUUUUUUUAAUGUAUCAACUUUUUGUAAAACAAUAUUAGUGAUUUGAAACUUUAUGGAAUCAUAUACUAUGAUUUUGGGAGAAAUUUUAUUUUAUUUUACUAUUUUUAUCUGGGGUGGGGGGAUUCUGUCACGUAUUUGUUUCUAUAUAACUCGAUCUAAAUUCUG
rnacentral:lncRNA from 1 species